rnacentral:tRNA from 1 species
GGGUCGUUAGCUCAGUUGGUAGAGCAGCGGACUUUUAAUCCGUUGGUCGAGCGUUCGAAUCGCUCACGACCCA